rnacentral:snoRNA from 1 species
GACAGGUGAUGAUACUCAAAAUCAGUUCUGCUUCUGAAGCAUUCUGAAGACAACCUUAAUACCAAAAGCUCAAUAUUUCUGAUGU